rnacentral:rRNA from 1 species
UACGUAGGUGGCAAGCGUUGUCCGGAAUUAUUGGGCGUAAAGCGCGCGCAGGCGGUCCUUUAAGUCCGAUGUGAAAGCCCACGGCUCAACCGUGGAGGGUCAUUGGAAACUGGGGGACUUGAGUACAGAAGAGAAGAGUGGAAUUCCACGUGUAGCGGUGAAAUGCGUAGAGAUGUGGAGGAACACCAGUGGCGAAGGCGACUCUUUGGUCUGUAACUGACGCUGAGGCGCGAAAGCGUGGGUAGCAAACAGG